rnacentral:ncRNA from 2 species
CGGUGAGGUAGAGGAGCGAUCAUCAAGAGUAUUCAAUGGAAGCAAUGACAAGCUAUGAACAUUGGAGAAAGGGGUGAUUGCCGAAGACUGUGGUUGAGAGUCAAUCAAUCUUAGUCUGGUGUAGUUUCUCUUAAGAGGAGAUACACUGUCAUGCAUGCUCAUUUGGGUGCAUGGGGCGCUACUGAUCGA